rnacentral:lncRNA from 1 species
GUAUAAUAGCAUAAAAUUUUAUUUUUUUUAAUAAAAUAUGUCAAUUAUUUAUUAUGUAUUUAUAUUAAAUUUUUUAAAUUAGUAAUUUGGAGAAUAAAGGGUUUUGAAUUGUGCUAUUGGUACGAAGACUAUAUCGUGUCGAUAUCUUACUGGCACAAUACGACACGGUCGAUACGGCUCGUACCUAUAGACACUUUAAUCCUUGAUAGGGGGCUCUUCAAUUAUAUAAUACUUACACCGAUCGUCCCUAGCGCAAGUGGCAAAAGACUUAGUAGUUGAUAUCCGAGAUCCUAAGUUCGAAUCCUAAUUUAUUCAUAUUUCUAGUUAAGUUUAUUUCUAAAAAAAUAAACAAAGCGGAUAUAUAUAGUUGAGUUGGAAUGCUAUCGAUAGCAAGCGACCUUUGUUGCCACCCGUUUGUUUUCGAAGAUGGAGCUUCCAAAUCGACGAUCGGCACCGUUGAACAUGAUCUAUACCACUUGAAGUAUCUAGAAAUCAAAUUUCAAGUCUUUUCGACAUCAGUGACCUAAUGAUCAAAGCGUUUCAAAAUUUAUAAUUUUAAUGGUCGAUAUAAGACAUUUUCUCGUUUAACAAUAUAAAAAUAUCCAAAUCAAUUGAAUUUUGGUUAUAAAAUUUUUUAAACUAAAUAGAACAAGAUCUAAACUCUUGAUCUUGAUUACAAGACUCCUAUCAUCACUUUUUAAAGGCUAUUCAUUUUCAGCCGUUCAUUUUUGUGUCCACUUGAUGGACAAGAGAACAAUAUUGGAAAAAUAUAAAAUUUGAUUUCUAGAUGUCUCAGGUGGUAUAGAUCAUGUUCAACGAUACCGAUCAUCGAUUUGGAGGCUCCAUCAUCGAAAACAAGUCCGUAGCAACAGAGCUCGUUUACUACCGAUAGCAUUCUAGCUUAACUCUAUAUAUAUAUAUAUAGAGAGAGAGAGAGACUGAGGCUACUAUAUAUACUCUUAUGAGUAUAGAACCCCUUAUACUCAUAAAUUUUUAACCGUUGAUUGAUGGGAUGUGUGGUUAGGAUGAUGGUGGUUUCCACUUAGAAUGAUAAUAGUCCCCACAGGGUUGAGUGGGUAGUUGGUUGAAUAGUAUAAUCUAGCGGGUGAAAAUGAUUAAUGGAAUAAAUCUAAGGGCCGAAAACUUAUGAGUAUAAAGGAGCCAAUACUCAUAAAAGUAUAGUAACCGGACUCAUAUAUAUAUAUAUAUAUAUAUAUAUAUAUAAUACUUACACUGCAUAAUUAAUAAUCAGUUAAUUAAAUAUUUUUUGAAAAAAAAUAAUAAAUAUGGGUGAAAAAGGAAUAAUCUGAUUGACUGAGAACACCAUAUCAGUAAUAUAACCGGUGUAUUCUAGAUUUUUUUCUCUAACAACUUCCUUUAAAGUGUCUUUAAGCCUAGCUAGCGGAACGCAAUAUUACGUUCGGAAAUAAACAUGAUAUUUUUCUCUCGUCGUUUCUCACCGCAUGUAAUACAAUCUCUCCGCAAUCCCAAACGAAGUCUUUAAUCUAUUACUACCUAUUACUUUUAUUUUUAUUCCAAAUUUUAAUUUUUUUUAAAAAAUAGUAUUAAAAAAUAUCAAACAACCAUCA